GCGGUCCGCGCUCAUUGGUGAUUCAUAAUAACUUGUCGAAUCGCACGGCGUUGUGCUGGCGAUGCUUCAUUCAAAUAUCUGCCCUAUCAACUUUCGAUGGUAGGAUAGUGGCCUACCAUGGUUUCUACGGGUAACGGGGAAUAAGGGUUCGAUUCCGGAGAGGGAGCCUGAGAAACGGCUACCACAUCCAAGGAAGGCAGCAGGCGCGCAAAUUACCCAAUCCCGACACGGGGAGGUAGUGACAAUAAAUAACAAUAUAGGGCCCUUUCGGGUCUUAUGAUUGGAAUGAGAACAAUUUAAAUCCCUUAACGAGGAACAAUUGGAGGGCAAGUCUGGUGCCAGCAGCCGCGGUAAUUCCAGCUCCAAUAGCGUAUAUUAAAGUUGUUGCAGUUAAAAAGCUCGUAGUUGAACUUCAGAGCUGGCCGGACGGUCUGCCUUCACGGUAUGUACUGUCUUCGGCUGGUUCUUACCUCUUGGUGAACCAUGAUGCCCUUUACUGGGUGUGGUGGGGAACCAGGACUUUUACCUUGAGAAAAUUAGAGUGUUCAAAGCAGGCAUAUGCCCGAAUACAUUAGCAUGGAAUAAUAAAAUAGGACGUGCGGUUCUAUUUUGUUGGUUUCUAGAGUCGCCGUAAUGAUUAAUAGGGAUAGUUGGGGGCAUUAGUAUUCAGUUGCUAGAGGUGAAAUUCUUGGAUUUACUGAAGACUAACUACUGCGAAAGCAUUUGCCAAGGAUGUUUUCAUUAAUCAAGAACGAAGGUUAGGGGAUCGAAAACGAUCAGAUACCGUUGUAGUCUUAACAGUAAACUAUGCCGACUAGGGAU
rnacentral:rRNA from 1 species